AAAAUUGAUGAUAAACAAAAUUUCAUCAAAUCUUUAUCAUUCAAAAUCAUUAAUUGUCAUAUAUACUUUAGUCACGUUAGGUAAUUUUGUAAGUUUUGUUUAAGGAAAAAAAUGAAAAACAUUAAUACUUAAGUUUAUGGAUAGUUUAAUAAUUUUUUUUAGCAUAUAUAUUUAGAUAGACCAGUCUAUUUUUUUAAGGAUUUUAAAAAUGAAAAUCACAUUGUUAGUUAUUCUUCUGUAUCACAAACUUUCACACGGUUGAUCAUCUUAAAAUUAUGUUGCAUAAUCGUCAACAGAUCGAGUCCCUUGCCGCAGACUUUGGAAUUUUUGAAACAUUAGUUGAUCAUAAUUGUACGGCGGCUGCUCGGUCACGAAAAUGUAUGGCGAUCAAAGGCACACAUCGAUCUAAGGGGAAUUGCUUAAACUCGAGAAUUUCUUUCACAGUGACAAACAAACCUAAUAACUCCUCAGCUAUGGUCGAACCAUUGAAUUCUCGGAAAUUGAGUUUAAAACAUGACUUCCAAGCAUUGUCAUCUUGUUCUUCGUCUGAGUUGGAGUUGUUGGCGUUUCUACGAUUGACGCGUCGAUCGUGUUGAUGGCGAAGUGGGGCAAAUGGGUUUUCGUCUCCCUCUGAGUCGUAAGAUUUCCAAGCAUUGUCAUCUUGUCCUUUCUUAUCGAGGAGAGCUUUGAGUUAGAUUUCCAAUGCCGCUGGUUUGAGGUCAAUCAGCAUCAUGUAGCAGACGUUAUGCAUGUUUUACUGAAGAGUGGCCAGUCUGCCUCGCAACAGGAAGCUGUCGAGAAGAUGAAGGACUGUCGAUCGACGGUGAUGCCAGAAUACGGGCCGAGCAUAUUUUAUGGCCGAUUGAAGCCCAUAAGCAACCACAAACUACCAGAAUACCCUUGGACGACCUAAAACCCUAGUUAUGUGUGUUCUAAGCCAUUGUUGACGGCUACGCUUUCUUUUAUUCAUUGUUCUUAGUUAGGAGAGAAAGGAGGAACUCCUUCAGAGUCCUCCUGGAACUCCAUUGGUUUUGGUUUUUAUAUCUAUUGAAAUUUUAUAUCUAUUCAUCUA